rnacentral:rRNA from 1 species
AUACGUAGGGGGCGAGCGUUGUCCGGAAUGAUUGGGCGUAAAGGGCGCGUAGGCGGCCCGGUAAGUCUGGAGUGAAAGUCCUGUUUUUAAGAUGGGAAUUGCUUUGGAUACUGUCGGGCUUGAGUGCAGGAGAGGUAAGUGGAAUUCCCAGUGUAGCGGUGAAAUGCGUAGAGAUUGGGAGGAACACCAGUGGCGAAGGCGACUUACUGGACUGUAACUGACGCUGAGGCGCGAAAGUGUGGGGAGCAAAUAGGAGUGGAUGCCCUGGUAGUCCACACCGUAAACGAUGAAUGCUAGGUGUAGGGGGUAUCGACCCCUUCUGUGCCGCAGGCAACACAAUAAGCAUUCCGCCUGGGGAGUACGGCCGCAAGGUUGAAACUCAAAGGAAUUGACGGGG